GCCCUCGUAGCUCAGGGGAUAGAGCGCCGGCCUCCGGAGCCGGAUGCGCAGGUUCGAAUCCUGCCGAGGGCGC
rnacentral:tRNA from 2 species